rnacentral:rRNA from 1 species
GAUGAACGCUGGCGGCGUGCCUAAUACAUGCAAGUCGAGCGAACAGAUAAGGAGCUUGCUCCUUUGACGUUAGCGGCGGACGGGUGAGUAACACGUGGGUAACCUACCUAUAAGACUGGGAUAACUUCGGGAAACCGGAGCUAAUACCGGAUAACAUUUGGAACCGCAUGGUUCUAAAGUGAAAGAUGGUUUUGCUAUCACUUAUAGAUGGACCCGCGCCGUAUUAGCUAGUUGAUAAGGUAACGGCUUACCAAGGCAACGAUACGUAGCCGACCUGAGAGGGUGAUCGGCCACACUGGAACUGAGACACGGUCCAGACUCCUACGGGAGGCAGCAGUAGGGAAUCUUCCGCAAUGGGCGAAAGCCUGACGGAGCAACGCCGCGUGAGUGAUGAAGGGUUUCGGCUCGUAAAACUCUGUUAUUAGGGAAGAACAAACGUGUAAGUAACUGUGCACGUCUUGACGGUACCUAAUCAGAAAGCCACGGCUAACUACGUG